CGAAUCAACAAGUUAAAGCCA
rnacentral:siRNA from 1 species